CGUGUAGGCGGUUGGAUAAGUCGGAUGUGAAAGCCCGGGGCUCAACUCCGGAAGUGCAUUCGAAACUGUCCUGCUCGAGUACGGGAGAGGAGAGUGGAAUUCCUGGUGUAGAGGUGAAAUUCGUAGAUAUCAGGAGGAACACCUGUGGCGAAGGCGGCUCUCUGGACCGAUACUGACGCUGAGACGCGAAAGCGUGGGAGCAAACAGGAUUAGAUACCCCGGUAGUCCACGCUGUAAACGGUGAGCACUAGGUGUAGCGGGUAUUGACCCCUGCUGUGCCGACGCUAACGCAUUAAGUGCUCCGCCUGGGGAGUACGGCCGCAAGGUUAAA
rnacentral:rRNA from 1 species